AGUUCUGGACUGAGAAUUCCAUCUAAUUGUUCUUCACUGAGGGGCCGGGAACUCUGAUUGACACUUGGCUGAGGCAGAGAGGAAGGAUCAUCAGAGAUGGGACCAAUAUCUAGUCCAGCUGAAGAGGGUACACUUGGGUUUUCUCUGCAAACUAUGAAGUACCCACAACACCUGAAGAACAGAGGAAACAACUUUGGAUUGGGGGAGAAUCCUGACUGAAAGGAAUUCAGUAACUGCUGUAACAUGCGGUGAGAGAGACCUUUGCUUUGAGUUCACUUAGCUUGUUAAAUUUGGCAUUAGUUGUGUUUUACUUUUAUUUUCUUGUAACCAAUUUUGACUUUGAUGCCUCAUUACUGGUAAUCACUUAAAAUCUAUCUUUUGUAAUUAAUAAACUUAUUUUAUUUUA